rnacentral:rRNA from 1 species
GUUUAUUAUAUGUUGCCCGUACCGUAAACCGACACAGGUGGGUGGGAUGAGUAUUCUAAGGCGCGUGGAAGAACCCUCUUUAAGGAACUCUGCAAAAUAGCACCGUAUCUUCGGUAUAAGGUGUGCCUACUUUGGUAUAUGGACUUGCUCCAAAAAGCUAGAGAGGUUGCAACAAAGAGUCCCUCCCGACUGUUUACCAAAAACACAGCACUUUGCUAACACGUAAGUGGAUGUAUAAGGUGUGACGCCUGCCCGGUGCUCGAAGGUUAAUUGAUGAUGUCAGCGCAAGCGAAAUGUC